rnacentral:sRNA from 1 species
CCACCCAAUGCACCGCCUACGCCCGCUUCAACUGUUCCGCCUGCCGAGGCGAAACCGCUUGCGAGAGUAAGAGACAACAACAGUAUCGAGGAAUACUUCAUGUAUGGAAUCUCAUAGGGAUGACGGCGCGAUCCUGAUAUGCCGCAAGGAAUGUAGCAACGAAAUUCCGACGAGUAACACGACUGCAACACAAAUAGCUAAGUUACUGUUUUACAUAGGGAACUUAACUUGAAAAAGACAGUCUGAGCUUACUUGAUACAGGCCCGGUUCUUACGAAUUCGGGCCUUUUUCAUGGGCAGCAGAAUCAGAUGAUUCGUGCCGACUCGCUCGAACGUUCCAGGCGGAUUG